rnacentral:misc_RNA from 1 species
GUGAAUCAUCGAAUUUUUGAACGCAAAUUGCACUCCCUGGUAUUCCGGGGAGUAUGCCUGUUUGAGGGUCGUUAGAACAAAAAUCGAAGCGUCGCUCUUGUGUUUUUAAGGGGGAUCGGGGCGGAAUUGAGCCGUCAUACAAAUGGUAAUUCAUGUAAAAGUGGCGGGAAAUACAACAAUCCGGGACGAUUAAAGAGUAUUAAAGAUCAAAUAUGA